CCUACGGGAGGCAGCAGUGGGGAAUAUUGGACAAUGGGCGCAAGCCUGAUCCAGCCAUGCCGCGUGUGUGAAGAAGGCCUUAGGGUUGUAAAGCACUUUCAGUGGGGAGAAAGGUAAUUCACUUAAUACGUGAGUUAAUUGAUGUUACCCACAGAAGAAGCACCGGCUAACUCCGUGCCAGCAGCCGCGGUAAUACGGAGGGUGCAAGCGUUAAUCGGAAUUACUGGGCGUAAAGCGCACGUAGGUGGUUUGUUAAGCUAGCUGUGAAAUCCCCGGGCUCAACCUGGGCACUGCAGUUAGAACUGGCAAGCUAGAGUAGGGUAGAGGGGUGUGGAAUUCCAGGUGUAGCGGUGAAAUGCGUAGAUAUCUGGAGGAACAUCAGUGGCGAAGGCGACACCCUGGACUCAUACUGACACUGAGGUGCGAAAAGCGUGGGGAGCAAACAGGGUUAGAUACCCUGGUAGUCCACGCCGUAAACGAUGUCUACUAGCCGUUGGGAGCCUUGAGCUCUUAGUGGCGCAGCUAACGCACUAAGUAGACCGCCUGGGGAGUACGGUCGCAAGAUUAAAAACUUAAAGGAAAUUGACGGNNGAGAGAGCGAGAGACACGAGGGAGGAGG
rnacentral:rRNA from 1 species